GUUAAAGUUACGGUAUUGACAAUAAUUAUCUGUUAUGGUUUUAGUUUUGUACUUUCAUAAUAUUUAGAACAUAUUACAUAAAUUUAGAAAAAAAGUGUUUUAUAGGUGACCAGAUUGAAAUGAAUUUCAUUUAACAUAGCAUACUUGCUUGGGAAAAUUAUUCUGUUGACUUCCUGCAAAAGAUAUAAACGAGGUGACCCACGACCCAGUGGGUUUGGCAUCCUUGCUUUUUGGAAUUCAAAUCGCCCUUGCAUGUUGGCAGCAGUGUUUACUAUAUAAAGUUGGGUAGAUGGUUGAUAUGGGUUGGAUUUGGCUCCCUUAAAUUUAUACAUUGAAGCACAAAACUCUAGGACUUCAGAAUGUGAUCCUUAUUUAGAGAGACGAUGGUUACAAAAUUAAUAAAAUUUAAGCAAGGUCAUUAGGGUGGGCCCCAAUCCACUGGGACAGGUUUCCUACAAGAUGAGGGGACUUGAACAAAGAAAUACACAUAGAGGGAAGACAAUUUGAAGAGACAGGAGAAGAAGGCUAUCUGUAAGCCAAGGAGAAAGGCCUACAACAGGCCUGAACUUACAGCUUCCAGAAGAAACUAACUCUGACAACACCUUGUCUCUGACUUCUGCUUUCCAGAACUGUGAGACAAUUGUUGUUUGUGGCACUUUGUUAUAGCAGAACUAGAGAACUAAUAAAAGCGCUUUUGCAAAAGCACAUGCUAUAGACUGACUGGUGGUAGGAAGAAGAAGCAUGUUAAAGAGCAGGGGCCCCCAAGCAAACUUCUGGAAACUGUUAGAUUAUUUUAUAAGGUGGGUAAUCAGUUCUUCUCUUUAUCUGUUUUGUGGAUGAAUACAAAUCCACCCAGACUGAAAAGAAUAAGGAAAGUGGUCAGCGCCAGUCACAGGUUCACCAAGGGCUCCUUAAUUUAUGCUCAUCUGAUGGGGAGGAAUUUUGAAGAAGUACAAUGAAGCCUGAAUUUUUUGUGUCAGUUGUGAAGAGAUUUUAUAACUUCAAAAAAGAUUAUUUAGGGUGCCUGAUUGAGAAGAACAUACGAACACUAAAUUUUACUCCUGGCCCUUGAGAAACUUUAUGUCAUAUUGCAACAGGAUUAUUUUAUACUCUGAAGGAUUAUGAGCGGUACAGAGCAUGAUUAAAUCUUAUUAUUUUAGUGAAGUGCUUAGGGCUUCUAAUUUCUCUCUCUACUUCUCUGAUGCUUUUUCUUUCUAUCUCCUACAAAUUGUGUGGGUGACAGUGCAAAUUUUUUUUCAUCCCUGACUCAUUCUUUUACUUACUUGCUCUUCUGAUUAUAAUGAAAGGUUUUAUUGCAGUUAAAAUGGCAACCAUCCUGAUGGACAAAACAGAUUGAUGUCCAAAUGUUACCUCCCAAAUAGUGAGAAUGUAUUAAUGGUGGAAAUAAAAAAGCCUCAAGACACUGAGUAAGUGAGUCGUGGCUGCGAGGGGCCUGGGCCUGUUGUCAGUCUGUUCCCAUUGAUGUCAUUCCCAAUUCUCUGACCAUUGUAUAAUUUAAAAUUCACUUGGUCAGUGUUUCUCAGCUUGAUUACAACAGUUCCCAGGCUGUGAGGAGUUAAGCCAAAGAAGUUUUUAUUAAUUUUCCUUCUCCCUAAAGACUUUAGGCUUGCUGUUUCAAAGAAAGCUAGAGACCACAAUGAGCCAACUAUUUGGUGAGAAGUUUCUCCUCUGGGAGAGAGCUUUUAGCUGAGAUUCCAGCCUUUCAAAUGUCAAAUGUUACUCAUUCUUGCUUUGGCUCUGAUUAUUCUGGGCAUAGUCAUGACUGGGGAUUUCCGGUUCCAAUGCCUGUUUAUAACUUCAACAACAAAGAAAUUCUUCUGAAUUAUUGGAUCAAAUGCGUAGGAUUUGUUGAGUUUGGCAUGUAAAGGCAAAACGUUUUGCUUUCUGUUUAUGAUCUAUAAAACAACUCUGAAUCUGUUA